CAAUAGCGUAUAUUAAAGUUGUUGCGGUAAAAAAGCUCGUAGUUGGAUUUCUGUUGAGAGCGACCGGUCCAUACCAUGUAUGCGUAUCUGGCUUGCUCUCGGCAUCCUCUCGAUAGACGUUGCUGCGCUUGAUUGCGUGGCGCGGAUCUCGGGACUUUUACUUUGAGGAAAUUAGAGUGUUCACGGCAGGCUUUCGCCAGAAUACAUUAGCAUGGAAUAAUACUAUAGGAUCUUGGUCCUAUUUUGUUGGUUUCUAGAAUUGAGAUAAUGAUUAAUAGGGACAAUUGGGGGCAUUCGUAUCAACACGUCAGAGGUGGAAUUCUUGGAUUGUGUUGCGACGAACUACUGCGAAAGCAUUUGCCAAGGAUGUUUUCAUUGA
rnacentral:rRNA from 1 species